rnacentral:lncRNA from 10 species
CUCAACAACAACAACAACAACAAAAACAACAAAACAAGAUUUGUCACAGUGAAUGUCACAGGUUUUAGGCAUACUCCUCCCUAACUCAUUCAUAUCAGCAUCCCCAGCUUCUGAUGGUAAUCAGUGUCAAUUGUCACUGAUAGUAUACUAACUCCUUUCCAUGCCUGUUGAUCCACAGGAAUAACAAGUCAAAGUGGCUAAAUGACAGUCACAGAUUCCUGUUCAUUGUAACACUUCUUGUUUUCCUUGACAGUGUGAACCCUCCAGCCCCAAACUCAAGAAGAAAAAUCUCUAAGAAGACCUAAUAUUGGAUCUCUAAGGAGACCUAAUAUCGGUGGGGCAUGCCUGUAAUCCCAGUUACUUGGGAGGCUGAGGCAGAAGCAUGGCUUGAACCCAGGAGGCAGAGGUUGCAGUGAGCCAAGAUUGUGCCACUGCACUCCAGCCUGGUGACAGCUCUCUCUCUUUCUCUCUCUCUCCAUAUAUGUGUGUGUGUGUGUGUGUGUGUGUGUGUGUGUGUGUGUGUAUAUAUAUACACACACACAUAUACACACAUAUAUAUAUAAAUAUGUAUAGAACAAGAAGCAUACAAUUGGCAAGUAGGCUACUGAGAGUGAGUGACAGGGGCUGACCCUUUGUUUCCAGACAUGGAUAUUCCAGAUAUUAGAGACAAAGUAACCUAUAUUAGCAUCUGACCAAAGCAUAUAUGCCUCCUAGGGGAUAAUGGCUCAAUCCCACAUAAAUUGAUCCCAAAGCUGGAAACUUAGGCCUUUCAUAGGCCAUCCCACCAUUCUAUCUGUGUAGCACUGUCUGUGUGACAGUGUAUAUGUUAUUAGCAAGAUGCUCUUUGUGUCGAGAUGAUCAAGUUUGACAGUGACCUGGAGGAACACUGAUAUAGCUUAGGCAAGAAAGUAAUAAAGCAUAGCUAUUCUUCCCUCAUAAAAGCAAAUUGAUUUUGAUCCUAUUUACUAAUGGGGUUUGAAAAAAAAUGCAUUAUCUAGAUGAAAAGCUGCAUAACAUUCUCCAGAGACUGUAUGGAUCUGUUCCAAUAAAGAUGCCACAUUGGCAAAACAAAUGGAAUUGAUCCUGCCACUUGGUCAAAUUUAAGAUAAUGCAGAAUAAUCUACUAUACUCCAUCUUUUCCCCUCAGGAAUCACAAACAUAAGAUAAAAGCAGAUACAGUGGGACAAUAAACCCUAUCUCCUUUAUGUAUCUGAGGGUGUUGAUCAUCUCUAAUAUUUUACCAAGGAUAUAUAGCACGACUUCUGAUUUACAGUUGUAGCUGACAGAGCAACAGGAGUAAUUCUCAAGAACUGCCACUUGUUCUUUGCUACCAAAAAAGUUCUUACACUACAAAUUAGGGAAACUUGUAAGUGUACUGCCAGCUGUUUGGUGUAACCAUCCUAAUUUUGUUGUCAAGUACGAGGAAUAACCUAAGAGUUUAUCUAUGACCUUUACGCUAUUCUAUGACUGUGAGAUCAACUUGAAUCAAGAUUUCAUUGAUCACUGGUUCUUUAUGGAAUUACUCUAACUGAAGGAUCAUGAUGACAUGUUAGAUUAUAAGUGUCAGAUCACACCCUGUACACAACAAUCCUCAUAACUUUUAUGUUGGCAAAUGACUGCAGGUAUUUUUAGGAAAAGGAUUUGAGGAAUGCUCAUUUUAUAUUCUUUCAGUGACACUGCAGAAUCUAUGCUCAAGCGACACAACAUUCCCUUUAACUGGUGAGCUCAAGGUCUAAAACUAGCUAAGAUUAGAAUAUCAGUAGAAAACCAUGGCUUUUCGUGUUUGCAG